rnacentral:rRNA from 1 species
AGUGAACGCUGGCGGCAGGCCUAACACAUGCAAGUCGAGCGGCAGCGGGUCCUUCGGGCUGCCGGCGAGUGGCGGACGGGUGAGGAAUGCGUCGGAAUCUGCCUUUUUGUGGGGGAUAACGUAGGGAAACUUACGCUAAUACCGCAUACGACCUACGGGUGAAAGUGGGGGACCGCAAGGCCUCACGCAGAAAGAUGAGCCGACGUCGGAUUAGCUAGUUGGCGGGGUAAAGGCCCACCAAGGCGACGAUCCGUAGCUGGUCUGAGAGGAUGAUCAGCCACACUGGAACUGAGACACGGUCCAGACUCCUACGGGAGGCAGCAGUGGGGAAUAUUGGACAAUGGGCGCAAGCCUGAUCCAGCCAUGCCGCGUGUGUGAAGAAGGCCUUCGGGUUGUAAAGCACUUUUGUCCGGAAAGAAAUCCUGUCGGCUAAUACCCGGCGGGGAUGACGGUACCGGAAGAAUAAGCACCGGCUAACUUCGUG